rnacentral:rRNA from 1 species
CCUACGGGUGGCAGCAGUGAGGAAUAUUGGUCAAUGGGCGGAAGCCUGAACCAGCCAAGUAGCGUGCAGGAUGACGGCCCUACGGGUUGUAAACUGCUUUUAUACGGGAAUAACGCGCCUUACGUGUAGGGCUUUGCAUGUACCGUAUGAAUAAGGACCGGCUAAGUACGUGCCAGCAGCCGCGGUAAUACGGAAGGGCCGGGCGUUAUCCGGAUUUAUGGGGGUUAAAGGGAGCGUAGGCCGCAUGUCAAGCGUGCUGUGAAAUGUCCGGGCUCAACCCGGGCCUUGAAGCGCGAACUGGCGUGCUUGAGUCCGCGGAAAGCAGGCGGAAUUCGUCGUGUAGCGGUGAAAUGCUUAGAUAUGACGAAGAACCCCGAUUGCGAAGGCAGCUUGCUGCAGCGGAACUGACGCUGAUGCUCGAAAGCGCGGGUAUCGAACAGGAUUAGAUACCCCUGUAGUC